CAUUGGGCGCCAGUCUAUUGCAAGGUGAACAUAAAGAUACAUCCCUGCCUGUGUGUGUUCCAGCAGCCCCAAGAACUGCCCUGGAUAAGCAGCCUCCAAUUUUUCUCAGGCUGCUGGCUUUAGCCGCUCCAAGUAGCUGUGAGGCAACAAUUUACUGGAGCUUCAACUCUAUACUUCAUCCUGCUGCUCCAGCACUGAGAAAACUCCCAGUGAGGACACUUAGCCCCGCCCCUUCUGGUUUGUGCAAUAUAAGAAGCCCGGCUUCCUGGAAGGAGUGAACGGAGCUCCAGUGAUUGGCCCUUAUUUCCACGAC